AUUGAACGCUGGCGGCAUGCCUUACACAUGCAAGUCGAACGGCAGCACGGGAGCAAUCCUGGUGGCGAGUGGCGAACGGGUGAGUAAUAUAUCGGAACGUGCCCAGUCGUGGGGGAUAACGUAGCGAAAGCUACGCUAAUACCGCAUACGAUCUAUGGAUGAAAGCGGGGGAUUGCAAGACCUCGCGCGAUUGGAGCGGCCGAUAUCAGAUUAGGUAGUUGGUGAGGUAAAGGCUCACCAAGCCGACGAUCUGUAGCUGGUCUGAGAGGACGACCAGCCACACUGGGACUGAGACACGGCCCAGACUCCUACGGGAGGCAGCAGUGGGGAAUUUUGGACAAUGGGCGCAAGCCUGAUCCAGCAAUGCCGCGUGCAGGAUGAAGGCCUUCGGGUUGUAAACUGCUUUUGUACGGAACGAAACGGUGAGCUCUAAUACAGUUUGCUAAUGACGGUACCGUAAGAAUAAGCACCGGCUAACUACGUG
rnacentral:rRNA from 1 species